AACGAACGCUGGCGGCAUGCCUAACACAUGCAAGUCGAACGAGACCUUCGGGUCUAGUGGCGCACGGGUGCGUAACGCGUGGGAACCUGCCCUUAGGUUCGGAAUAACUCCCCGAAAGGGGUGCUAAUACCGGAUAAUGUCUUCGGACCAAAGAUUUAUCGCCUUUGGAUGGGCCCGCGUUGGAUUAGCUAGUUGGUAGGGUAAAAGCCUACCAAGGCGACGAUCCAUAGCUGGUCUGAGAGGAUGAUCAGCCACACUGGGACUGAGACACGGCCCAGACUCCUACGGGAGGCAGCAGUGGGGAAUAUUGGACAAUGGGCGAAAGCCUGAUCCAGCAAUGCCGCGUGAGUGAUGAAGGCCUUAGGGUUGUAAAGCUCUUUUACCCGGGAUGAUAAUGACAGUACCGGGAGAAUAAGCUCCGGCUAACUCCUU
rnacentral:rRNA from 1 species